GUAGUAUUAGUUAUGUUCUUAAAACCUAAAGAAUUUGGCGGUGUUUUAUUCUAUUCAGAGGAACUUGCCCCGUUAUCGAUAGUCCCCGUUUUAUCUUACUUGAUUUUGUUUAAAUUAAUUCAGUAUGUAUACCGCCGUUAUAAGCUUAUUUUUUAAGAACUAAAUUUGCUAAUAUUUUUAUUAAAAUUUAUUUCAGGUCAAGGUGCAGCUUAUAUUCAAGUGGAGGUGAGUUACAAUAUUUUUAAAUAAAUGGAUUUUUUAUUUAAAAUUUUUAUGAAGGUGGAUUUGAUGGUAAUUUUAUUUAUAUUAUUAUUUUGACCCUAGCUCUAAAACAAGUACACAUCGCCCGGUCGCUC
rnacentral:rRNA from 1 species